GAAUAAGAAGCGAUGAAUUGCAUUCAGUUUCGACCUGAUUUUAGAUACUUAUUAUCCUUAUUCU
rnacentral:tRNA from 1 species